rnacentral:rRNA from 1 species
UGGCGGUAAAUACAUAUUAGAGGAACCUGUUCUAUAAUUGAUAACCCACAGAAACUUAACCUUGUUGGAAAAUUAUUUAUAUAUCGUUGUCAUUGAGUUGGUAUAUAUAUUAAUUCAAAAGAUUUAAUAAUAGAAAAGAUCAAAUCAAGGUGUAGUUUAAUAAUAAGGAAGAAAUGGGUUACAUAUAUUAAAAUAAUAGAUUGGAGUUGAAAGAUUAAAUAAAAAAGGAUUUAAUGUAUAUAUAGAAAAUUAUAUAUAUGAAAUAUUAAUAUUUAUU